GGGAAGAUAGGAAGCAGUUGCUAGAAGAAGAGAAGGAGCAUCAAGAAAUAAAGGUCGGAAUCCGAAGCAAGAAUUAAAUAAUAUUAAUUAUUGUUAAGCUAAUAAGUAAUAAGGUUUCUUUAUUAUUUUCAUUUUUGUUGAUGUGGGCACAUGUGUGUGUGUGUGUGUUGUGUAGGCGUGAAUAUGUUCUCUUCUGUGUUUCCUUUCAUUGGCAGCUUUUGCUUUUCUGUAACGUCCUUUCUGUGUUUAAUUUGUGUGCAUGAUCAUGAUCAUCAUCAUCAUCAUCAUCAUCAU
rnacentral:lncRNA from 1 species